GAGUUUAAGAAGGAAAGAGGUGAAAGUGAAUUUCGAAAGUAGUAGCUAAUGGUGUUGAAACAAUUUAUGUGGUGUGGUCAGGAGUAGUGUAUUAAAAAAAGAAAGAUUAUAUUAUGUGUUGAUUAAGAAUACCCCCUCAUUACUAUUUGUUAACUAGCUUAAAGAGAUGGUAAAAAAAAAUAAAGUGUGAAGGUAGAGGUGGUGAAAGUUUGAUUUUUUAGAAAGGAUCCAAAAGUAGA
rnacentral:lncRNA from 1 species